GGAGAGGUGCCCGAGCGGCUGAAGGGGCACGACUGGAAAUCGUGUGUAGGGGCUAACACCUCUACCGAGGGUUCGAAUCCCUCCCUCUCCGCCA
rnacentral:tRNA from 1 species